UGGCGUCCAUCAUGUCUAUGGCUGUAUCUCAAUUCAGGGUCUGCAUCCUACGUCGGCCGGAUUCGUCGGCCGGUUACGUCACUGCGCCGCGACUCGGCCUGUCCCAAUUCGAAGACUCCUUCAAAUGCGGUCGACGAAUGCGGCCUUCUUUUCGCCUGAAUGAAGGAUGGGUUCGGUGUAUCCUUCAACAGGUAGCAUUUCCCAAGAUGCCUUGCGGGCCGGCCGGCAGAAAAACUUAAAAACAAUGGCGGACAGUGAAGCGGGAGCUGUUGGAGAGGAUUGCGCAUAUAAAUGUCAGUAUAAACUUGAAAACUGUUAGGUUAAGGACUUUUUGUGAUACAUGAACGUUAUUUUAGUUAGAAAUGUAACAGUAAAAGUGCUUGUAUUGCGGUCUCGGCUCGUAUGUUCGGCCGCACUCGGUGUCGUACUUCUCCCGCUACGUUUCCCCCUGAUUUUAAUAGAAGUUUGUAUUUUAGGAACAAAAGAGAAAACCAGGGAAUUGAUUAAGCUUAGGGCGGAGAUGGACCACAUGAUCACCGGAGCAAAGUAUUUGGCGGCUGUGGCAUGGAGACUAUUCUGGAGAAAAUGGGCAUCCAGGGGAAGGUGCCAGCGAUGACCAGCUUCUGGAGCUGAUCUGGGAGGACAUGAGGCUGCAGAGGGCACAGGAGAGAAGGAAGAACUUUGACAGCUUUUUACUUUGCUAGAAAAAAAUGGUUAAGAAAGAUUAAACAUGUACAUAUAAAUGAAAUAUCUAAAUAAAAUCAGUUCUGCAUUAAACUCUUGAAUUUUAUUUUUGUUUACAAAGUAGAAUUGUUUACUAGAGGGUAUCCGCUGGGUCUUGAAAAGUCUUAAAAGGUGAUAAAUCGGUUUUGGUCAAAUUAAGACCCUGAGAAAGUAUUAAAAACUAUUAUCACAUCUUUGCUCAGGCUCAGCUUGUCUAAAGUAUUUUCUCUGAAUUAGCUCUCCAACAGUCAAGGAAAUGAUUAACCCUCAGAGACCCACGGUUGUAAUAUUACAACGUCAGAUUUAAGUCUACAAAAAUAAACCUUCCCCAUAUUUUUUUUCUUUUUAAAACCACAUUUACAUUGCUAAUAGGUCCUAUUGUUCAGUUCUGCAACACUAUUGGCUGUUAACAUGUGUAAAUAGGCCCGUUUAUCUGGCCUCCUAGAACAACAUGUGAAAGGUUAAAAAAAGAUUUUGAAGUUGUUUUCUAAAUUUGGGUUUCUGGGGGUUAAA